GUUCUAACCCCAGUCAAGGCUCUGGAGCUCACUCCUGCCUCGUCAAAUCAUUCUACUAUACAACACGCUCACUCCUGCCUCAUCAAAUCAUUCACUCUACCUAUACAACACGCUCACUCCUGCCUCGUCAAAUCAUUCACUCUACCUUUACAACAUCACGCUCACUCCUGCCUCAUCAAAUCAUUCAUUCUACUAUACAACAUCACGCUCACUCCUGCCUCAUCAAAUCAUUCAUUCUACUAUACAUCACGCUCACUCCUGCCUCAUCGCUCACUCCUGCCUCAUCGCCCACUCCUGCCUCAUCAAAUUAUUCAUUCUACCUAUACAACACGCUCACUCCUGCCUCAUCGCUCACUCCUGCCUCAUCGCUCACUCCUGCCUCAUCAAAUCAUUCAUUCUACCUAUACAACACGCUCACUCCUGCCUCAUCGCUCACUCCUGCCUCAUCGCUCACUCCUGCCUCAUCAAAUCAUUCAUUCUACUAUACAACACGCUCACUCCUGCCUCAUCAAAUCAUUCAUUCUACCUAUACAACACGCUCACUCCUGCCUCGUCAAAUCAUUAAUUCUACCUAUACAACACGCUCACUCCUGCCUCAUCAAAUCAUUCACUCUACCUAUACAACACGCUCACUCCUGCCUCAUCAAACCAUUCAUUCUACUAUACAACACGCUCACUCCUGCCUCAUCAAAUCAUUCACUCUACUAUACAUCAUGCUCACUCCUGCCUCGUCAAAUCAUUAAUUCUACUAUACAACACGCUCACUCCUGCCUCAUCAAAUCAUUAAUUCUACUAUACAACAACACGCUCACUCCUGCCUCAUCAAAUCAUUCAUUCUACUAUACAACACGCUCACUCCUGCCUCAUCAAAUCAUUCACUCUACCUAUACAACACGCUCACUCCUGCCUCGUCAAAUCAUUCAUUCUACUAUACAGCACGCUCACUCCUGCCUCGUCAAAUCAUUCAUUCUACUAUACAGCACGCUCACUCCUGCCUCGUCAAAUCAUUCAUUCUAG
rnacentral:lncRNA from 1 species